UACGAAGGGGGCGAGCGUUGUUCGGAAUCACUGGGCGUAAAGGGUGCGUAGGCGGGUCUUUAAGUCAGGGGUGAAAUCCUGGAGCUCAACUCCAGAACUGCCUUUGAUACUGAAGAUCUUGAGUGCGGGAGAGGUGAGUGGAACUGCGAGUGUAGAGGUGAAAUUCGUAGAUAUUCGCAAGAACACCAGUGGCGAAGGCGGCUCACUGGCCCGAUACUGACGCUGAGGCACGAAAGCGUGGGGAGCAAACAGG
rnacentral:rRNA from 1 species